GAAGGGACCUAGCGUAGUUCGGAAUUACUGGGCUUAAAGAGUUCGUAGGUGGUUAAAAAAGUUGGUGGUGAAAUCCCAGAGCUUAACUCUGGAACUGCCAUCAAAACUUUUUAGCUAGAGUAUGGUAGAGGAAAGCAGAAUUUCUAGUGUAGAGGUGAAAUUCGUAGAUAUUAGAAAGAAUACCAAUUGCGAAGGCAGCUUUCUGGAUCAUUACUGGCACUGAGGAACGAAAGCAUGGGUAGCGAAGAGAUUAGAUACCCUCGUAGUCCAUGCCGUAAAC
rnacentral:rRNA from 1 species